rnacentral:tRNA from 1 species
GGCUUGGUGGCUGAGUGAUUAAGUGCUUGGCUUCCAAACCAGGGGUUCCUGGGUUCGAAUCUCGGUGAAGACA